rnacentral:rRNA from 1 species
CGGCAACAGCUCAAAUUUGAAAUCUGGCCUCUUUGGGGUCCGAGUUGUAAUUUGUAGAGGAUGUUUCGGGUACCGCCUCGGUUUAAAUUUCUUGGAACAGAAUGUCAAAGAGGG